ACCAGUACCGUGAGGGAAAGGUGAAAAGCACCCCGACAAGGGGAGUGAAACAGAUCCUGAAACCGGACGCCUACAAGCAGUCGGAGCCGCCUUGCGCGGUGACGGCGUACCUUUUGUAUAAUGGGUCAGCGACUUCGUCUCUCGAGCAAGCUUAAGCCGGUAGGUGUAGGCGUAGCGAAAGCGAGUCUGAAUAGGGCGACUAAGUUUGUUGGAUUAGACCCGAAACCGAGUGAUCUAGGUAUGAGCAGGUUGAAGGUGCAGUAACAUGCACUGGAGGACCGAACCCACGCCUGUUGAAAAAGGCGGGGAUGACUUGUGCCUAGGGGUGAAAGGCCAAUCAAACUCGGAAAUAGCUGGUUCUCCGCGAAAUCUAUUUAGGU
rnacentral:rRNA from 14 species